rnacentral:rRNA from 1 species
UACAGAGGUGGCAAGCGCUGUUCGGAAUUACUGGGCGUAAAGGGCGCGUAGGCGGUUUCGUAAGUCCCGUGUGAAAGCCCCCGGCUCAACUGGGGAAUUGCACGGGAAACUGCGAGGCUUGAGUUCGGGAGAGGGAAGCGGAAUUCCGGGUGUAGCGGUGAAAUGCGUAGAUAUCCGGAGGAACACCGGUGGCGAAGGCGGCUUCCUGGACCGACACUGACGCUGAGGCGCGAAAGCUAGGGGAGCAAACGGG